rnacentral:lncRNA from 1 species
GAAUGGGGAAGAGAUAUUAAAGCAAUCUCAAAAGAUGAAGCAGUGAUGUUGGGGAAUCAUCCGGCUACAGCAGAUGUGUGCGCACUGAUGAUGUGCCUCCAGGACGAAGGACUGGGUGCUGCUCAGAUGAUGUGGUUGAUGGAUCAUAUUUUUAAGAACACAAACUUUGGAAUUGUUUCUUUAGUUCACGGAGACUUUUUUAUAAGACAGGGAAGAUGUUAUCGUGACCAACAGCUGCUGCUUCUCAAGAAGCACUUAGAAAGUAAUUACAGGAGCAGAGAUUGAAAAUGAAUUAUUUCGUUUCCAGAAAGGGGCUUCCUCAGGAAGAGGUGAGAAACAAGUCAGGCAUUUGCAGAGAAAAAUAACUUGCCAUUUCUUACACAUGUUACUCUGUAAAGAUCUGUGGCAACUAAAAUUAUUCUGAAUGCACUUGUAGCACAACAGGGAAAUGGAAGUCCAGCAAGAGGAGAUGCUAAAGAAUUAGCAAAUCAAAAGGCCUCCAGUGGGUAAUAGAUACAACGAUAGCUUAUCCUAAAGCUGAACCUAUCAAUAUUCAAACCUGGAUCCUUGGGUUCAGGAAACCAACAGUCACACAUGUACAUUACAGGAUCUUUCCAGUUAAAGAUGUAUCUCUGGAGACUGGUGACCUUACCAAUGGGAUCUAUCUAUGGUUUACUGAAAAAGAGGACCUCUUAUCACAUUUUUAUGAAACAGGAGCUUUUCCACCUUCCAAGGGCCAUAAGGAAGCUGUUUCCAGGGAAAUGACCCUCAGAAACAUGUGGAUAUUCCUCACACAGUCUUUUGCAUUUUUGUCAGUCUAUAUGUGGUACAACAUCAUUCAGUAUUUUUACCAUUGCCUGUUU